UCAAUUUUCAAAAUGGAAAAUUAUUUUUGUAAAACUUUUAAUAAAAAAAAUUAUAAAUAAAAAAAAUUCUGCGUUGGCCUACCAUCUCCCCAAGUGGGAGAGUGGACGUCAUAAUUUGUGGUAGAGGGGGUACGCGUUCGCGCGGCCCCUUC
rnacentral:snRNA from 1 species